UUGGGUGUAGCAAAACCAGCAACAAACAGAUCUUGAGACUUCUGGACUCGAUUGAAGGCCCUUGAUGAAAUCAGCCUGGUUGCUGUCUUCUUCGUCAGCCUUUCGUUCCAGAUGAAGAACGCCUCUGAAAUUACCUCUAAAAAUUCCAAGAUCUGGUACCCAACCAGAUCAGACCUAGAUCGAGGUCUUUCAAUUUGUAAAUCUUAAAUCGGGAUAUUCUAGAUAGGAAAGAAGGUAGAUGGAGACAGACCUUGCAGAUCUGUUCUGCUGCAGCCUUUCCUAUAGAUCUGUUGAUGAAGAUCUCACCUGCGCCUCAAACGACCUCAGAUCACUCCAGAUCUGAGAGGAACUUGUAUCAACCUCUUCGCAAGAGAUUCCAGGUCCUGGACCUGAUGCUUGGAUGGCUGCAAGAGAGGGAGAGAGGAAUCUGGUUGGCAGCACAAAGGAGAAGGGGGCUAGCGCCUCCCCUUCUUUUCUUUCCUUUUAUGGACUGGCGGCAAGAAACCCUAGGGUUUCUUGCUCCUGAGGCAUGGAGAAUUUCUGGAGAGAGAGAGAGAAGAGAGCGAGAGACUUGGGAGAAAGAGUUUUGUAUUCUCUUGGCUUAAUCAAACCUAUACAAGUACAUGUAUAUAUAAACAUAGGGUCAAGUGACCCAAACCCAAAACUCCCUUGACCAACUCUAUGGGAGAUUAGGUUAACCCAAGCCCAUGUACACCCAUGACUCGACCUAAUC
rnacentral:lncRNA from 1 species